GCAUAUCAAUAAGCGGAGGAAAAGAAACCAACAGGGAUUGCCCUAGUAACGGCGAGUGAAGCGGCAACAGCUCAAAUUUGAAAUCUGGCUUCGGCCCGAGUUGUAAUUUGCAGAGGAAGCUUCUGGCGCGGCGCUGUCCGAGUCCCCUGGAACGGGGCGCCAUAGAGGGUGAGAGCCCCGUAUGGAUGGAUGCCUAGCCUGUGUGAAGCUCCUUCGACGAGUCGAGUAGUUUGGGAAUGCUGCUCAAAAUGGGAGGUAAAUUCCUUCUAAAGCUAAAUAUUGGCCAGAGACCGAUAGCGCACAAGUAGAGUGAUCGAAAGAUGAAAAGCACUUUGAAAAGAGGGUUAAAUAGCACGUGAAAUUGUUGAAAGGGAAGCGCUUGUGACCAGACUUGCGCCAGGCUGAUCAUCCGGUGUUCUCACCGGUGCACUCUGCCUGGCUCAGGCCAGCAUCGGUUUUGGUGGGGGGAUAAAGACCUAGGGAACGUAGCUCUUUCGGGAGUGUUAUAGCCCUGGGUGUAAUGCCCCCGCUGGGACCGAGGUUCGCGCAUCUGCAAGGAUGCUGGCGUAAUGGUCAUCAGCGACCCGUCUUGAAACACGGACC
rnacentral:rRNA from 1 species